rnacentral:rRNA from 1 species
AUUGAACGCUGGCGGUAUGCCUAACACAUGCAAGUCGAGCGGAGCGGCGGACGGGUGAGUAAUGCCUAGGAAUCUGCCUGGUAGUGGGGGAUCACGUCCGGAAACGGGCGCUAAUAACGCAUACUUUCAGAUGAGUCUAGGUGGGAUUAGCUAGUUGGUGGGGUAAAGGCUUACCAAGGCGACGAUGCGUAACUGGUCUGAGAGGAUGAUCAGUCACACUGGAACUGAGACACGGUCCAGACUCCUACGGGAGGCAGCAGUGGGGAAUAUUGGGCAAUGGGCGAAAGCCUGAUCCAGCCAUGCCGCGUGUGUGAAGAAGGUCUUCGGAUUGUAAAGCACUGUAAGUAGGGAAGCGUUACCAACAGAGUAAGCACCGGCUAACUUCGUGCCAGCAGCCGCGGUAAUAC